ensembl:lncRNA ETS2-AS1 ETS2 antisense RNA 1
GGGGGUCUUCUCUCUUGGCUUUGGAGCUCCCCAUUCCUCUGUGUCUGUAACAGGGGAGCUUCUUCCUUCUUUCUUCUCCCUUCUUUCUUGCCUGUUAAACUCUCUGCUUCUUAAAACCACUCCAUGUAUGUCCAGGUCAUUUUAUCUAAUUUGGAGACGGAGAACCCUGGUGUUCCUCUGCUCAUCAGAGCCGUCUCACCUGCAAGGGCCAGGAUCCAGCACUAGGGCUGCCCUUUAUGUUCAUGCAGCCUCCACUAGGAAGAUCCUCCUUAGCUGCCACCUGCUGUAAAGGGAUCUAUCUAUCUAUCUGUCUAUCUAUCUAUCUAUCUAUCUUUCUAUCUACCUGUCGAGAGAGAGAGAGGUUUAUUAUAAGGAAUUGACUCAUGUGAUUAUGGAGGCUGAGAAGUUCCACAGUCUGCUGUCUGCAAGCUGGAGACCCAGGAAGGCUGCUGGUGCCGUUCCAGUUUGAUUCUGAAGGCCUGAGAACCAGAACUGAUGCCCACUCAACAUGAAGAUGACAAGGAUGAAGACCUUUAUGAUGAUCCAUUCCCACUUACUGAAUAAACUUCACCAGGACCCAGGAAAUAAGAUUUGAUUGCUGCACACUUAGAAACAAUGGCAAUCAAGGGAAAUGCCCCAUCUUACAUGGAGCUCUUCUAGUGGAAACACCAUGGUUGCCACCACGUACUGCUCCGUACCUAAGUUUCUAGGAACCAGACUCUGGAAACUCUUCUAGAACUGCCCCAGGAGAACCAACGUGUCUGUUGCUUGCAAAGACCUCCAGUGUCCCUGAGCCUGGCCACUGCCUCCCAUUGCUCAAACCCUCCUAGUCUCGUAUGUGGACAUCUGCUUGGAAGAAUCUCAUCCACGUACAAAAUCCUGGCUCUGUGUUACUUCGUAUUAGAGAGAAUGUUUUUAUUCUCAGGCGAUAGAUGCAAAAAUAUUUAAAGUGCAGCUCACUUUCAAACGGUUCAGCCAAAUGUCGAUGAUUUUUGAAUCUAAGUGGAUGAAGCUUCUUGGUGAUGUAACAGUCUGUGGAAACUCCCACAGGACAAAUGCAGAAAGGAAGGACCUAGAUCACUGGAUGGUCAACGUUGCCCCUUGCACAGCAGCAAAGGCCUAUACAAAUUUUUUGAGUAGCUUUAUCUAGUGGUUCAGCUACUGGGAAUAACUUGUAAAAUCCCCUGGAUAGUCAACAGCAUUGGGGCUUGCUUUGUAAACAGAGACCUGACCUACUUAAUUCUUCCCAGAGGUUGGAAAAAGAGGCUGGACUCACACAGACAUGAAACCUUGGCUUAAUUGGACACUAAUUACUCAUAAGAGAUCUGUUUACCCGAACUUCCCCUAGACCAAGCUCAGUAUAAAAUGAGAGGAUGCAUAAAGAAGCAAGAUAUUUAGAGGAAAAUGUCACAAAUACAUUUAUCAGUCCCAAAAGUCCUUUUUUUUCCCCAGAAGUGAUGUUGCUAAUUGCACAAAAAUAAACAAUACAGGGGUUGAUAAAUUCCACAUUUAAGGGCUGAGGAUAGUGUCCCUACAUUUCUAAGAAGCUGUAUAUUUGGAAAUGAAUACAAUUGAAAGUAAGGAUAAGUGGCAUUCUAAAGCCAAUUGGAUAACUUGAAUGAACAAGCAGAAUUUACCAUAUUUUGAUAUGUUUCUUUUUGAUUAAAGUAUCUGUAAAGGAAACA